AAAAAGUGGAGCUUAACUCCAUCAUGGCAGUGGAAACUGUUGGGCUUGAGUGUGGUAGGGGCAGAGGGAAUUCCCGGUGUAGCGGUGAAAUGCGUAGAUAUCGGGAAGAACACCAGUGGCGAAGGCGCUCUGCUGGGCCAUCACUGACGCUCAUGGACGAAAGCCAGGGGAGCGAAAGGGAUUAGAUACCCUUGUAGUCCUGCCGUAAACGAUGACCACUAGGAUCGGGGAAUGCACCUCCGGUGUCGUAGCCAACGCGUUAAGUGUUCCGCCUGGGGAGUACGCACGCAAGUGUGAAACUCAAAGGAAUUAACGGGGGCCGCACAAGCGGUGGAGUAUGUGGUUUAAUUCGAUGCAACGCGAAGAACCUUACCAGGGUUUGACAUCCUGGCAAUCUCUUGGAAACUUGAGAGUGCUUCGGGAGCGACGUGACAGGUGGUGCAUGGCUGUCGUCAGCUCGU
rnacentral:rRNA from 1 species